rnacentral:lncRNA from 1 species
CGAUAACGUGUGGAAGUGCGACGAUGAUAUUUUGUUUGUUGUUCUAGAUAUAUAUUUAUUUGUCCCCAUAGUACUAGUAUUGAUAGCUUUUGCUCCCUCUACCGUUCCGAAGUCAUUACUACCUUGGUCUCGCAAGGUGAUUUCUUGGACGAAAUGAACUGUUUAAAUGUGGAAGGGGAAAACGACCGCGGCAACCUCAAGGCUAUGUCUGAAUCGUGUGGAAUUGUAUUGUAUUGUACAAACGGUUUUGCUGGUUAAUGUGUGUUGCUCCAUGUAAUCUGCUCUUGUGUGCUGCAUUAUCACCCAGCUGUUAAUUUCCUUGUCCUUCGACCACAGUUUCUGCUGUUAUUCCUUGUUUUAAUCAUUUUUGGCAACAUUGAUCCAUUACGUCUUGAAGAUCAAAGAUCUGAAAAAAUGCUGUUGAGUGUGUAUGCAAUGAGAUGAAAUGAAAUAUGUCAUUUUUCACCAGGAUCGCUGCAGUGGCUGCCCUCUGCAUCAUUUCGCUCUCGAGCUCUCAUGGCAAAUUGUUCUGAAACCCGCGGACCAUUUGACUACAUAUAGUAUGAAUUUGAUUAGUGCCGGUUUAUUGUUUGUAUGGUACACAGGGAGGGAGGAAAAGAAGGUUUUAAACAUACUGGAGAGUAGCAAAAAAUAUAACUAAUUGAUGGCUUGUUUUUUCUUUUUAGCAAUAGUCGACAUGUACAUGACGGGGAGUUACAUGACAGGGCUCCCCGGGCAUCGGCGCCGCUCGGCCUGUGCAGGCGGUGGCCAUUGAACUGAUGUAAAAUUGGCCAAUCUAGUCUCGCUGCUCUGGUUUGCAGCUGCGUGGUAGACAGUCGAAAUCUUGUGAAAUGGGCAACAUGGCCACAACCGGGGAUCUCUUUUCAGUUCCUUCUAAAAUCUCAGCUUGUCAGCGACCCACAACAAAAGCUCAUUGUGGAAUAUGUAGCACCUCAUGGCCUGACAACCAACAUAGGAAGGACUGAUAUCAAAUGGUUUUGAUAGAACGAUGUAUAUAUAGUGGUGAGCAAUGACCACCAGAACUUCUAAGUAAAGCACAGGGGGUAAGCAUGAUGCCACUGAAUGGUGUAACUCAUGACUCAUGAGGAACAACAAUAAAAGCAUGACCAGUGCGUCGACCAUUACGAGUUGUCUAGAAAAUUGUUCAUAAUGCAAGACGGGCAUGAAGGGAUUUGUUUGGUAUAUUUUAUCACAUGGCUGACGUGAGCACAAAGAGGAUACCAGAAUUUGAAUAUUCUAGAUUAGUAAGUCAAGAAAAUUCCCUCGCAAAAAAAGCAAGUCCAGAAAUUCAGUAAGACUCCCACACGAGCGCAUUCUAUGCAAAUGGUUUGUACCUCAACUAAUGCAGUAGCAUAUGGUUCUUUUCUAAGAUUAAAUGAAAUAAUUGAUAAAUGUCAUGAUUUAUGCAGAGGAACGAAAGUAGAUGGAGGUCUCCGUGAUGAGCUAGGGACUACAAAACCUUCAUUUCAACAGAAAAGUACCAUUGGCUAUGGUUCAGCUGAGGAUCGAAUUGGUCAGGUAUAUCAUGAAUGGAGCAUUAUUCAUUUGUUCGCUGAAAUGUUUGUUAAUUUGUUUGGCUGUUUUGCUCUCUGCAUACUUAGCUCUUGCACGCAGCAUUGUCACUUGCGAAUUAUAAAAUACUGCAAAUAUGAGGCUAAUCUGUUCUGUUGAUUUUGCAGGCUAUAAGUGUUAGACUGUAUAUACGUAGUCUUGUAUAGGCCUUGUAUUAUACCUCUUGGUACGUCUAUAUAAUGAGAUAGCCACACCCCGUUUUAGGGUGUCGAGCCAGUUUCCGAAACCCUAUGUUUUACAUGGUAUCAAUUUAGGUUACGAUGUCUUCCACUGCAUCACCUCCCGCCGCCGCCACGCCGAUCUCGGCCGCCGCUGCCGCGCCGGCCCUUGCUCCGAUGUCACCCUUCCUGGCCUCCCGGCCCCUCGCGGUGACAUACGGUGCCUUGCCGCCGCCGCCCGCUUCCCCGCAGGCCUCGGGGACUCCAGACAAUCUGAUCGCCUGUAACAUCCCAAAUUUUCAAUUUAGAAUGUUAUAUAUUAGAUCAUCAUUGCAUAUCAUAUUUUAUUGCAUUUUGGUUUGGUCCUAGAAAUUCUACGCAACUCAACGACCCACGGAGAGAGUUGGGGAUUUCGUUAUUUUCAUAUUUGAAUUUUCUCAAAAUCUGAAAAUAGGAUCAUUUGAUUUUAUUUAUUUUGUUUUCAAUUAUUUCUAUUAUAAAAAUAAGAGAGAGGGAAUAAAAUGACUUUCCCAAAAUAAAAAAAUAUUGAGGAUUUAAUAAAAAAUCAAAUAAGUUUUUAUUUCGGUGUUUAUCGCGGUUUUAUUUGAAUUUAGGGAAAAUGUACGUUUUUCAAAGUUGCAUUUAGAUCCCAAAUAAAUGUUCAUCUUGUCCGGCUUGAUAUUAGAGGACGGGGAAAAUUUAUUUCGGGAUUUUUGGAGUCAGUUUAGUAUUUCUUUUAAUUGUUUUUCUGCGCAGAAUUAUUAUUUUUUAAAAAAAUCGAACCGACCUAGCCGGGCCGUACACGACUAGGACUCUGCCCGGCCGGCCCCUUUAAAGGCCGAAGGCCCGAGCCGCCCCAGCCCCUAGCACCACCUGANNNNNNNNNNNNNNNNNNNNNNNNNNNNNNNNNNNNNNNNNNNNNNNNNNNNNNNNNNNNNNNNNNNNNNNNNNNNNNNNNNNNNNNNNNNNNNNNNNNNNNNNNNNNNNNNNNNNNNNNNNNNNNNNNNNNNNNNNNNNNNNNNNNNNNNNNNNNNNNNNNNNNNNNNNNNNNNNNNNNNNNNNNNNNNNNNNNNNNNNNNNNNNNNNNNNNNNNNNNNNNNNNNNNNNNNNNNNNNNNNNNNNNNNNNNNNNNNNNNNNNNNNNNNNNNNNNNNNNNNNNNNNNNNNNNNNNNNNNNNNNNNNNNNNNNNNNNNNNNNNNNNNNNNNNNNNNNNNNNNNNNNNNNNNNNNNNNNNNNNNNNNNNNNNNNNNNNNNNNNNNNCGCCCGCCGCCGCCGUCGCCGGAGUCCGCCGCCGCCGGAGGUAGCCGCCGCCUCGGUUCUCGCGAGGAAAACCAAUUGUUUUUUUUUCGAAACCCUAAAUCCGUUUUUUUAUAGCUCGGUUUAUUUAUUUUCCCAGUUUAGUUAUUUAGCAGACGUUCGUCCGUACGUUCGUUUUAACGAACGGUUUUCGUCAUUUAGCCACAUACAACGAACGUUCAUUUGUUAGCCUGUUCGUCCGCUUUUCCUUUUCUCGGAUUUUCCGCGAUUAUUCCAAAUCGCGAUUUCUGAUCCAAUUUUCGUUUUAGUAUAACUUUUCGCUCGUUUAUCGGAAUCAGGGGAUUCAAGCGCCUAGAGUUUCGUCUCAAAACCCUCUUUGCGUUUAGCCAACUCAAACAAGUUUUUGCCACUGUAAAAUUUGACCUAGGUCCAGAUUAGUAAACGAAGUUUGUUUCUUUCGCCGUUUGACUUUCGUUUCUUCAUUUGAUUUGAUUCUUUUUGCAAACCGGAGCUCUUAAGUUGAACUUUCUGGUUAUUUCUUUUAUUUGAGUUUUACCUGUGCAUUAGUUGAGUGCUUAUUGUAUGCUUGUUUGUUUGCGAUAGAGUACCCGGAGUGCGCCGCUUGCUACUACGAGUCUCUAGGUUUCACGGAUCAUCAACAAGGCAAGUAACACUUUGAUCAUACCUCUUUACUACCCAGUUUUAUUGCAUUAGAUCAAUCCUCAAACAAAUGCAUGAUUAUGAUAUGAGUAAUAUGUGGGUUUUCGGAAGUAGAUGAGGUAGUACCUAUUACCUGUUUUAUCAUCAAACCUUUGGGAGUUACUUCUAUGUUUGCUUAUAUUGUCAUGCUAUGCUAGUAGACGUGGAUUGGGUGAGUGUAUCCAUGACAGAUGUGAGAUUGUUAUUUAAUGGUUUACUUAAGGUGGCAACUUAAAUUCACAUCUAGGUGGAUUGAGGCACCUGGGGAACCCAGUGUUGCCUGUAUUUUUGGAAAUCCCGGGGUACCGUGUGAUUCUCCUAUGGACCGCCACCCAGGCUCAAAGGGAUCAUGAGAUUAUUCAUGCUAGAAACUUCCGUGUGCAUCCACAAGCUACUAUGGGCUCUAGCAUAGUGGAGUAGGUUACAAGACCUCUUUCAGUGGUGGGCUAGCAGAUGUAGGGGAAAGUAGGUGUAACUGUCCAUCCGGAGUAAAGAGUUAUUGUUUCUGAAAGACUGUGUCGUGGUCAUCCGUUUCUCAAACACCAUGUAGUGCGAGAAAUCCAAUGGAGGAGAUCGAGUCUUGUGGGGAAAAGUGCACAAACCUCUGUAGAGUGUACAAAUUAAUCAUGGUUAGCCGUGUCCCCGGUUAUGGACGUUUUGAGUAUCUAGUACAUGGAUUAUCAUGUGAAUCUCAUCAUGUUACUUUAAUUUAAUCAUGUUGGGGUAAUGAUGUUACUUAAUUGGGAUUGAGUUGGAGGAACCUUCUCAAUGUUUAACAUCCACCAUGAUAGUUAAAUAAAAUUUAUUCCUUUGCUGUAGGAAAAAAUGGCUUUAUGCAAAACUGUAACCAUAGAGCUUUCCACCAGCCAUAUAUGCAUGUAGUGAUAGCAUUAUUCUAUUCUUUACUCUCUAUGUGUUACAAUGCCAUCAUAUUCCAUGUGCUGACCCAUUUUCGGGCUGCAACGUUCAUGUUGCAGACUUUUCAGACGACGAGUACGGUGUCUUAGGUCGUGGUCUUAUACUCAGUGAUGCCGUUGGAGUUGAUGGACUCACUUAUCUUCCAAGCCUUCCGCUGUUAUCGUUAUUAGAUGGCCUUAAGCCAUAUUUAUUGUAAUAAGUUCUCUUUUGAGACAUUCGAUGUAAUAGGUGUGUGAUUGCUACUCUGUUAUAAAUCCUUCAAGUACUGUGCGUGUCAGCAUUACCGAUCCAGGGAUGACACUAAUGCACAGAGAUCAGACUGUUUGAGGUCUGGUCGCUACAAGAUGGUAUCAGAGCACACGCUGACUGUAGGACACGACCACUAAGCUAAAGCCCUAGAUCACUCUCUCUCUUCUCAUUUUUGACACCUCAUCUUUUCUACUCUUUUAGGAAUGGCGGAUGCAAGGAACAAGUUCACGCAACCGAAUGAAGAUACACCCUUUGGACGCCACCUGAAGGAAGUCACUAAGUACCUGAACAUCGGAGUACCAAGUUUCACCGGGACCUCACUUUACCAGAAGAGGAGCGUUUGAUGAUUCAAGUUCAAGUUCCAGGAAGGACGUUCAUGCCCGUCACCGAGCCCAUAGAGUUUUCCUUUGAUGCACCAACCUGGAGUCUAGGAAAGAGCAUGGCAGCUCACAUCACAAUGGGACACAUUGGAGAAGUUUACCACAAGGAUCUCAGGGAUACUAUCUACCAGAUUUGUGGGCGCCGAGAUGAGCAAUGGGAGAUGAUCAGCACCAGAAAGGAUAGAUCAAUUGCAGCUUUCAUCCAGGAGUUAAACCAACAUAUUCGUCGCCAGGAGAACCAGAUGUGCGCAGGCAUGAUAGAUCUGAAGAAGGCUAUGCCCAAGAUCACGGAGCUAGAGGAAGAACUCAAGUCUACACGCGAUGGUUAUGAAGAGGAAAUGACAACACUCGUGGAGAAGAAUGAAGAUCUGAAGAAGAAGCUAAAUGUGUUUAUGGGAUUUCCCGCAACUGGAGGAGAAGACGAUGAUUGCACUUGCCCGGAGAACUACAUCAUCAUCGACGACACCGACUCGGACCCGGACGAUAGCGAUGAUGACUUUGUUGAUGAAGCUGGAGCAGAUAUCAUGGAGUCUUCGACCGAUCAAUUUUUCUAGUCGACCACCAUAACAGUAGUAGUAUUCCCCCCAUGUAUAUAGUAUAGUCCGAGCACUUUUGUAACGAUAGCUAGACCGUUGCAUGCCCUUGUUUGAUUUGAUUGAAGUAAAAUUGUUUGCUUUUGUCUCAUGUGCAUAUGGGUAGUGUUUUUCUCUCUAGACCUCAUUCUAUUCUGUAUUCUCAUCUUUUCUAAACCCUCAGAUGCCUCCGAGACGUGACAAUGGAUUUGCUUUUCCACCGAAGCUCACUCAGUUGAGCCAGCAACAGAAUGCAUUGAUGCAGUUACUAGUCCAGAAUCAGAAUCAGGGGAACAACAACAACGCACCACCACCACCUGCUGAUCACUUAGCCCGUUUCUUGAGGCUGAAUCCGCCGGUGUUCUCUAGUAGCACCGAGCUGAUAGUUGCAGAUGAUUGGCUCCGUAAGAUGGAAAGGGAAUUGACCACUGCAGGAUGCACAGAUGUGGAGAAGGUGCGUUUUGCCGCACAUCAACUUGAUGGACCCGCAACAUCAUGGUGGGAGAAUUUCACAGCCACUUAUCCUAUCAACACUGUCACAUGGGAUCAGUUUCAGCAGGCUUUCCAGACUGCUCAUGUUUCAGCAGGAGCUAUGGCCAUGAAGAAGCGUGAGUUUCACAACUUAUGCCAAGGAGGACGUACUGUUGGCUAGUAUGUGGAUGACUUUAGUAAGCUAGCACGUUAUGCCCCAGAUGACGUUGCUACGGAUGCCGCUAAACAUGAGAAGUUUCUGGAAGGACUGAAUUAUGAGCUGAGCAUGCAGUUGAUGGUAGCAACCUUCAACAACUUCCAGGAGUUGGUAGAUCGUGCUCUCAUGAUUGAAGGGAAGCAGCAGCAGAUUGACAACCGCAAGAGGAAGUAUGGAAAAGGGAAGUACAAUUCUGGAGCUCAGCAGAAGCCUCGUUUUACCCCGAACUCGGAGGACCUUUUCAGCAUACCCAUGGAGGAGGUAGUUCGCACAACCAUAGUGGCCCAAAAAAUGGUAAUGGGAAUGGAGGAAGUAACAGACAGAAUCGUACCAACCCAUCAACCCAAGCCAAGAGGGAUCUAAGCCACAUUACCUGUUUCAAAUGCCAGAAGACUGGACAUUAUGCCACUGAAUGUCCUGAAGCAAAGAAUGGAAAUGGCAAUGGAAGCUCUGGGAAGAAGCCUAACCCUUUCCACAAGGGACAGGUGAACCAUGUUAGCGUGGAGGAGGUUGAAGCCCAGCCAGAUGCAGUAAUAGGUAAGUUUUUGGUUAAGUCAUUUACUGCAAUCGUUCUUUUUGAUACUGGUGCAUCGCAUUCAUACAUAUCAAGGGGAUUUGUGGAUAAGUAUAAACGGCCCACCAAGGUUCUUAGAACACCUAUGUUAGUAAGCUCACCAGGAGCGGAUUAUAUGGCCAGUGGAGGAUGUUUUCAGGUGCCAUUGACCAUAGGCAGGCAUGUUUUCCCCUCGGAUUUGAUAAUUUUGGAGUCACAAGGUUUGGAUGUGAUUCUGGGUAUGGAUUGGCUAUCUAUGUAUGGAAGAAACAUCGAUUGCGGCAGUAAGUCGAUUUUGCUUACCACCCCAGAAGGAAGAAGGAUCAAGUAUGUAUCCCGGCACGAGCCGAAGAGAACCCAAGUGAAUUCCUUAACAGGAGUUGUACAGGAGGAAGUACCAGUAGUGAAGGAUUUUCCUGACGUAUUUCCAGAAGAGUUGCCAGGCAUGCCACCGGAUAGAGACAUUGAGUUUUUGAUUGAGCUUUUGCCAGGCACAGGGCCUAUAUUGAAGAGACCGUACAGGAUGCCCGCAUAGGAUUUGGAAGAAAUUAAGAAGCAGAUUAAGGAGUUACUGGAUAAAGGAUAUAUUCGCCCAAGUUCUUCACCCUGGGGAUCGCCAGUGCUUCUAGUGGAGAAGAAGGAUGGAUCUUUAAGGAUGGUUGUUGAUUAUCGAGGAUUGAAUGAAGUGACAAUCAAGAACAAGUACCCACUGCCGAUGAUUAAUGAUUUAUUUGACCAGUUGCAAGGAGCUAAGGUAUUUUCCAAGAUCGAUCUGUGAUCGGGAUACCACCAGUUGAAGAUUCAAGAGCAGGAUAUACCUAAGACGGCUUUUACCACUAGGUACGGGCUGUAUGAGUAUACCGUUAUGUCAUUUGGUCUGACGAACACACCUGCAUAUUUCAUGAACAUGAUGAAUAAGAUGUUUAUGGAGUUUUUGGAUAAGUUCGUCGUGGUGUUCAUUGAUGACAUUUUGGUCUAUUCGAUGAAUGAAGAGGAGCAUAAGGAGCAUUUGCGUUUGGUACUUGGGAAGCUCAGAGAACAUCAAUUAUAUGCCAAGUUCAGCAAGUGUGAAUUCUGGUUGAAGGAAGUUGGAUUUCUUGGACAUGUUAUAUCCGGAGAAGAAAUAGCAGUAGAUCCCACCAAAGUUGUCAUCGUGACCAAUUGGGAAGCCCCAACGACAGUUGGAGAGAUCCGGAGUUUUCUUGGACUCGCAGGAUACUACCAGAGGUUCAUUGAGAAUUUCUCGAAGAUUGCAAAGCCCAUGACGGAGUUGUUGAAGAAGGACACCAAGUUCAAAUGGACGGAGGAAUGUGAGGCCAGUUUUCAGGAGUUGAAGAAACGUUUGGUUACAUCACCGGUGUUGAUUCUGCCAGAUCAGCGCAAGGAUUAUGAGGUGUAUUGCGACGCUUCACAUCGAGUACUUGGAGAAGUGCUUAUGCAAGAGGGAAGAGUUGUUUUGUAUGCCUCACGACAGCUUAAGCCCCAUGAGUUGAAUUAUGCUACACAUGAUUUGUCGUUAGCAGCCGUUGUGCAUGCAUCGAAGACAUGGAGACAUUUUCUCAUCGGAAAUCAUUGUGAGGUGUACACGGAUCACAAGAGUUUGAAGUACAUCUUCACACAGAAGGAGUUGAAUCUCAGGCAAAGGAGAUGGUUGGAGCUCAUCAAGGAUUAUGAUAUGAGAUUGCAUUAUCACCCCGGAAAGGCUAACAUAGUAGCUGAUGCGUUGAGCCGCAAGAGCCAUGUCAACACACUCUUGACCGGAGAGUUACCAAAGGAGUUAACCGAGGAUCUUCGCGAGCUAUGUUUGGAGAUAGUUCCGAGAGGCUAUGUUGUAGCGUUGGAGAUUCAGUCGACUUUGAUGGAUAAGAUCAGAGAAGCUCAGAAGACUGACAAAGGAAAUUGCUGAGAUAAAGGAGAGGAUGAGCAAAGGAAAAGCUAAAGGAUUCCGUGAGGAUGAGCACGAUACCUUAUGGUUUGAAGAUCGCGUUUAUGUGCCUAAUGACCCGAAGAUCAGGAAGUUGAUUUUGCAAGAGGCCCAUGAUUCGCCGUACUCGAUUCACCCAGGAAAUACCAAGAUGUAUCUGGAUUUGAAGGAUACUUUCUGGUGGACCAGAAUGAAGAAGGAUAUUGCGGAGUAUGUAGCAGUAUGUGGUGUAUGUCAGAGAGUGAAGGCAGAGCAUCAGAAGCCAGCAGGAUUGCUACAACGAUUGCCAAUACCCGAGUGGAAGUGGGAUAAGGUAGGCAUGGAUUUUAUCACGGGAUUGCCUAGGACUCGUUCAGGCUAUGACUCGAUUUGGGUUGUAGUCGAUCGAUUGACAAAGGUAGCUCAUUUCAUCCCAGUGAAGACCAGUUACACCAGUGCUAAGUUGUCAAAGAUAUACAUGACUAGGAUCGUAUGUCUGCAUGGAGUUCCGAGGAGCAUUGUAUCAGAUAGCGGAACCCAGUUUACCUCAAAGUUCUGGAAUCAGUUGCACGAAACUUUGGGUACCAGGCUAGAGUUCAAUACAGCCUUUCAUCCGCAGACAGAUGGACAGACCGAGAGAGUCAAUCAGAUUCUGGAGUACAUGCUGAGAGCUUGUGCGCUAGAUUAUGGAUCUAGUUGGGAUGAGAAUUUGCCAUAUGCGGAGUUCUCUUACAACAACAGUUAUCAAUCCAGUUUGAAGAUGGCCCCCUUCAAAGCUUUGUACGAAAGGAGGUGCAGGACACCAUUGUUGUGGGACGAAGUUGGAGACUGUCAGUUGUUUGGGCCAGAUUUGAUUAAAGAGUCUGAACAGAACGUGAAGUUGAUUCGCGAUAGGCUCAAGGUAGCCCAGUCUAGGAAGAAGAGAUAUGCAGAUUCUAAAUACAAGGAGACAGUUUACGAAGUCGGAGACAGAGUUUAUCUUCGUGUAUUCCCACUUCGAGGAGUUAAGCGCUUUGGAGUUAAGGGAAAGUUAGCGCCAUGUUUUGUAGGACCAUACAAAGUUUUGGAAUGUAUGGGAGAAGUUUCUUAAAAGUUGGAAUUGCCCGAAGGAUUGUCAGCAGUUCACGAUGUGUUCCACGUUUCCCAGCUGAAGAAGUGCCACGCAGAGAUGGCUGAUAUAUGCUGAGAGAUACAGUGCCGCUGGAAGCGAUUCAGUUGGAUAGUGAUUUGACCUAUGAGGAGAAACCAGUCAAGAUUCUCGAGUUUGCCAGUCGAGUCACCCGCAGCAAGGUUAUCAAGUUUUGCAAAGUUCAGUGGAGCCACCACACCGAAGAUGAAGCCACCUGGGAGCGAGAGGAAGAUCUACUGAAGGACAACCCUCACCUAUUUUCUAGCCAACCCGAAUCUCGAGGGCGAGAUUCAUCUUAAGGGGGGUAGGUUUGUAACAUCCCAAAUUUUCAAUUUGGAAUGUUAUACAUUAGAUCAUCAUUGCAUAUCAUAUUUUAUUGCAUUUUGGUUUGAUCUUAGAAAUUCUACGCAACUCAAGGACCCACGGAGAGAGUUGGGGAUUUCGUUAUUUUCAUAUUUGAGUUUUCUCAAAAUUUGAAAAUAGGAUUAUUUGAUUUUAUUUAUUUUGUCUUCAACUAUUUCUAUUAUAAAAAUAAAAGAGAGGGAAUAAAAUGACUUUCCCAAAAUAAAGAAAUAUUGAGGAUUUAAUUAAAAAAAUGAAAUAAGUUUUUAUUUCGGUGUUUAUCGCAGUUUUAUUUGAAUUUAGGAAAAAUGCGCAUUUUUCAAAAUUGCAUUUAGGCACCAAAUAAAUGUUCAUCUUGUUCGGCUUGAUUUUAGAGGACGGGGAAAAUUUAUUUCGGGAUUUUUGGAGUCUAUUUAGUAUUACUUUUAAUUGUUUUUCUACGUAGAAUUAUUAAAAAAAAAUGAACCGAGCUAGCCGGGCCGUACCCGACUAGGACUCUGCCCGGCCGGCCCCUUUAAAGGCCGAAGGCCCGAGCCGCCCCAGCCCUAGCCCCGCCCGAAACCCUAGCCCCGAGCCGCCGCCGCCGCCGCCGCUGCCGCUGNNNNNNNNNNNNNNNNNNNNNNNNNNNNNNNNNNNNNNNNNNNNNNNNNNNNNNNNNNNNNNNNNNNNNNNNNNNNNNNNNNNNNNNNNNNNNNNNNNNNNNNNNNNNNNNNNNNNNNNNNNNNNNNNNNNNNNNNNNNNNNNNNNNNNNNNNNNNNNNNNNNNNNNNNNNNNNNNNNNNNNNNNNNNNNNNNNNNNNNNNNNNNNNNNNNNNNNNNNNNNNNNNNNNNNNNNNNNNNNNNNNNNNNNNNNNNNNNNNNNNNNNNNNNNNNNNNNNNNNNNNNNNNNNNNNNNNNNNNNNNNNNNNNNNNNNNNNNNNNNNNNNNNNNNNNNNNNNNNNNNNNNNNNNNNNNNNNNNNNNNNNNNNNNNNNNNNNNNNNNNNNNNNNNNNNNNNNNNNNNNNNNNNNNNNNNNNNNNNNNNNNNNNNNNNNNNNNNNNNNNNNNNNNNNNNNNNNNNNNNNNNNNNNNNNNNNNNNNNNNNNNNNNNNNNNNNNNNNNNNNNNNNNNNNNNNNNGCCGACCGUGCCGCCCCCGUCCGCCGCGGCAUCAAUCGCCCCGCCGCCGUCCGCCCCGCUGCCGCUGCCCUCGCCAGAGUCCGCUGCCGCCGGAGGUAGCCGCCGCCACCUCGGUUCUCGCAAGGAAAACCGAUUGUUUCUUUUCGAAACGCUAUAUCCGUUUUUUAUAGAUCAGUUUAUUUAUUUUCCCGGUUUAGUUAUUUAGCGGACGUUCGUCCGUACGUUCGUUUUAACCGAAUAGUUUUUGUCUUUUAGCCGCAGACAGCGAACGUUCGUUCGUUUGCCUGUUCAUCCUUUUUCUUUUUCUCGGAUUUUCCGCGAUUAUUCCAGAUCGCGAUUUAUGAUCCGAUUUUCGUUUUAGUAUAACUUUUCGCUCGUUUAUCGGAAUCAGGCGAUUCAAGUGCCUAGAGUUUCGUCUUGAAACCCUCUUUCUGUUUAGCCAACUCAAACAAGUUUUUACCAUUGUAAAAUUUGACCUAGGUCCAGAUUAGUAAACGAAGUUUGUUUAUUUCGCCGUUUGACUUUUGUUGCUUCGUUUGAUUUGAUUUUUUUUGCAAACCGGAGCUCUUAAGUUGAACUUUCUGGUUAGAUCUUUUAUUUGAGUUUUACCUAUGCAUUAGUUGAGUGCUUAUUGUAUGCUUGUUUGUUUGCGAUAGAGUACCCGGAGUGCGCCGCUUGCUACUCCGAGUCUCUAGGUUUCACGGAUCAUCAACAAGGCAAGUAACACUUUGAUCAUACCUCUUUACUACCCAGUUUUAUUGCAUUAGAUCAAUCCUCAAAUAAAUGCAUGAUUAGGAUCUGAGUAAUAUGUGGGUUUUCGGAAGUAGAUGAGGUAGUACCUAUUACCUAUUUUAUCAUCAAACUUUGGGAGUUACUUCUACGUUUGCUUAUAUUGCCAUGCUAUGCUAGUAGAUGUGGAUUGGGUGAGUGUAUCCAUGACAGAUGUGAGAUUGUUAUUUAAUGGUUUACUUAAGGUGGCAACUUAAAUUCACAUCUGGGUGGAUUGAGGCACCUGGGGAACCCAGUGUUGCCUGUAUUUUUGGAAAUCCCGGGGUACCGUGUGAUUCUCGUAUGGACCGCCACACAGGCUCAAAGGGAUCAUGAGAUUAUUCAUGCUAAAAACUUCCGUGUGCAGCAACAAGCUACUAUGGGAUCUAGCAUAGUGGAGUAGGUUACAAGACCUCUUUCAGUGGUGGGCUAGCAGAUGUAGGGGAAAGUAGGUGUAACUGUCCAUCCGGAGUAAAGAGUUAUUGUUUCUGAAAGACUGUGUCGUGGUCAUCCGUUUCUCAAACACCAUGUAGUGCGAGAAAUCCAAUGGAGGAGAUCGAGCCUUGUGGGGAAAAGUGCGCAAACCUCUGUAGAGUGUACAAAUUAAUCAUGGUUAGCCGUGUCCCCGGUUAUGGACGUUUUGAGUAUCUAGUACAUGGAUUAUCAUGUGAAUCUCAUCAUGUUACUUUAAUUUAAUCAUGUUGGGGUAAUGAGGUUACUUAAUUGGGAUUGAGUUGGAGGAACCUUCUCAAUGUUUAACAUCCACCAUGAUAGUUAAAUAAAAUUUAUUCCUUUGCUGUAGGAAAAAAUGGCUUUAUGCAAAACUGUAACCAUAGAGCUUUCCACCAGCCAUAUAUGCAUGUAGUGAUAGCAUUAUUCUAUUCUUUACUCUCUAUGUGUUACAAUGCCAUCAUAUUCCAUGUGCUGACCCGUUUUCGGGCUGCAACGUUCAUGUUGCAGACUUUUCAGACGACGAGUAUGGUGUCUUAGGUCGUGGUCUUAUACUCAGUGAUGCCGUUGGAGUUGAUGGACUCACUUAUCUUCCAAGCCUUUCGCUGUUAUCGUUAUUAGAUGGCCUUAAGCCAUAUUUAUUGUAAUAAGUUCUCUUUUGAGACAUUCGAUGUAAUAGGGGUGUGAUUGCUACUCUGUUAUAAAUCCUUCAAGUACUGUGCGUGUCAGCAUUACCGAUCUAGAGAUGACACUGAUGCACAGAGAUCAGACUGUUUGAUGUCUGGUCGCUACAUCGCCCCGCCCGAGCCCGCGGCGCUACCGGCCCAUGGCGGCCCUCAUCCGCCGAGUUCGCACCCAUGGUACGGCGCUCCCGCGCCAUCCUAUGGUGCGCCCCCGCCGCCAUCGUCCUUAUGGCAGGGGUCGGCCUAUGCUGCGCCGCCGCCGCAACCGUACACGGCAGUGCCACAUCCGCUGCCACCGCACCACUACUACCCGGCGCCGUCGCAGCCGUCCUAUGGGGGUGUGGCCACCUCGCCGUAUGGCGCCCCUGUAGUACCCGACCAGGUUGCUUCGGCUGCUGCGGGUGCUGGCGCCUACGCUGCACCUUGCACCUAUGGUCCUCCUGCAGUGCCCGGCCACGACGCUUUGGCUGCCGCCUCUGCCCGAUCCUACUCCUCGCCUGGCGCCUACGCGAUGGUCCCUCGUCCAGAGAUGGCCCUGUCCAUGGAUCCCUAUGCACCACUGGCGUAGGCGUACACUGCUCAAACUGCGGCGCCUCCGCCGUUUUAUUUCUCGCACCUGCUGCCGGUGAAGUUCGCGUUGUACAACUACCUGUCAUGGCAUGCUCAGGUCUUACCUCUACUCCACAGCCGCUACUUGGAGGGCUAUGUCGACGGGUCCAUCCCGUGCCCACCCCCUCACCAUCUGGCAUAUCACAUGUGGGUGGCGCAGGAUCAGUCCAUUCUCUCCGCCAUCCAGUCUUUGCUCACGCCGAGUGUUUUGUCGAUGGUCAUCUUCGCCGCUACGUCCAGGGAGGCAUGGGCGGCCCUCCACACUAGUUUCGCCUCUCAGUCUCAGGCGCAUGCGCACUCUAUACGCACCGAGCUGGGUGAGACCAAGCUUGGCGAGCUCAGCAUCACGGAGUACUUCAACAAGAUGACGAGCCUCGCCGACACCUUGGCCUCUGUUGGUCAGCCGCUUCAGGAUGAGGACUUCACCACCUUUGUGCUUAACGGGCUCGAUGAUGAUUAUGUCAAUCUCAUUGAGAACGUCCAUGGUCGAGAGGAUACGCUGCCGCGUUGUGAGCUCUAUGCGCGCCUCCUUGGGCGUGAGCAGCGCAUCAAGGCGCGCCGUGUUUCCCCCAGCUUCGUCUCCGCCAACACCGCCAUAUGCGGCAAACCUCAGAAGCCGGCCCCAUCAGGUGGCAAACCACCGGCUUCCUCGCCGCAGGCCUCACGGGGCAAUGCGCCGACCAUCACUGGCGGGAGUCGCCCAGUUGCUUGAUGUUCUAGUUGCGGUGCUCCUCAGGCUUGUUAGCUUUGUGGCAUAGAUCGUCACCUCGCUUCUCGCUGCCACAGACGCUACAAGCAAGACUUCCUUGGCCUUGGUAACAAUGGAAAAGGGAAUGAUAAGCAGGCUGCAGCUGCUGUGACGGGGCACGAGCACGGGUGCACCCAGUCCUACUCUCUUGAUCCGGCGUGGUAUAUGGAUACAUGAGCGAUGAAUCAUCUCACUAGCGAGAUGGGCAAGCUCUCCACUCAGGAACCAUAUCGUGGACAUGAUCAGGUGCACACCGCCAACGGAGCAGGUAUGCGCAUCUCCCAUGUUGGUCAGGCAUCACUUCUUGCACACAAUUUUUGCAAACUACAUCUUUCUAGUGUCCUUCGAGUUCCCUCUGCUACACGUAGUUUGUUUUCUAUUACUCAACUUACUCGUGAUAAUAAUGUCCUUGCCGAGUUUCACCCUUUUCGUUUCUUUAUCAAGGAUCAAGACACGAGGGCCAUUCUGCUUAGUGGUCGUCUUCGCCAUGGCUUGUAUGCACUUGACGCACCGCCUGCAUCUCCUACGCCGUCUUCUCCUCAGGUGUUCAGUGGUGUUCGUGUGUCGCCUAUGCACUGGCAUGCAUGCCUUGGUCACCCUGUUGCUCCUAUAGUUAGUCAUGUGCUGCAUCACCAUGAACUACCAGUCGUGUCCAAUAAAAGUGCUGAAACUAUCUGUGAUGCCUGUCAGCAAGGCAAGAGUCACCAACUACCUUUUUCAGAGUCUAGUCGUGUUGUGAAACAUCCUCUUGAGCUUGUGUUUUCUGAUGUAUGGGGUCAUGCCCAAACGUCUGUUAGUGGUCACAACUAUUAUGUCAGUUUCAUUGAUGCUUACAGUCGGUUUACUUGGCUAUAUCUUAUCAAGCGUAAAUCUGACAUGUUUGAUGUUUUUAUUCAAUUCCAAGCACACGUUGAGCAUCUCCUUAAGCACAAAAUUAUUCAUGUUCAAUCCGACUGGGGUGGGAGGGGGGGGGGGUGAAUAUCACAACCUCAACUCGUUUUUUAACAAGCUUGGGAUCUCGCAUCGCGUAUCUUGUCCUCACACACAUCAGCAAAAUGGCACCGCUGAACGUAAGCAUCAUCAUCUUGUAGAGACUGGACUUACUUUACUAGCUCAUGCCUCUGUCCCGUUUCGGUUCUGGAGUGGUGCUUUCUCCACUGCCCGUUUCUUGACAAAUAGGCUUCCCUCACGACUACUGAAAAUGAAAACCCCUCUUGAACUCUUGCUCAAUGAUAUCCUAGACUACACAUUUCUCAAAGUGUUUGGGUGCGCGUGUUGGCCGCACUUGCGGCCGUACAACAAGCAUAGGUUAGAGUUUCGGUCUAAGAAGUGUGUCUUUCUUGGAUACAGUUCUCUCCACAAAGGGUACAAGUGUCUUCAUGUUCCCACCAAUCGUGUAUACAUUUCUCGUGACGUCGUGUUUGAUGAGAAUGUGUUCCCGUUUCGUGCUCUUCCGAACCACUCUACCAUUAGUUUACCACCUGUGCACUCAGCUACACCUUCGCCUGAUCAAUUUGUGGAUGGUGCAAAUGCUCCUGUGUUGCUUCCUAACCAGGCUGCAGGUAUUGGACGUGGUGCCCGUCUUGAACUCCUGGAUGAUGAGGCUAUGGAAAACUCUCACGAUGGUCACGCUGAUCCGGUGCAUGGCCCAUGCAUGGCGGGUCGUGCCCGCCAGCCCGAUGCAUCCACAGCCGCCCCGCGGGUGUCGGCAGCACCCGCAGCUACGCCCGGCUCGCCCGCCGCGUCGCCCAGCUCGCCCGCCCCGUCGCUCGGCUCGCCUGGCUCACCCGCCACGUUGCAUGCGUCGCCCUUGCCUGGCCCAGCGGCAGGCCGCCCAGCAGCCACUGGCCCAGCGGCAGGUGGACCAGCGGCCACGUCCGCUGCACCGGCCAGCCCCGCCUCGACCCCCUCGGCUCCUCAUGAGCCGGCCUUGUCAUCGGCUGGGCUCGGCAGCCCCGUCUCGGCCACGUCGUUCGGCGCUGAGUCUGAUGACUUCGGCUCCUCCAGCUCAGGAUCGGUCUCGCCUUCGUCUCCUGUGGCAAUCCCCGUGUUGCGGGCGCCGCCUGCUGUGGUCACUCAUCGACCACACACACGCAGCCGGUCUGGUGUUUUUCGCCCCAAGGAACGCACAGACGGGACUGUGGUGUGGCUUGCCGCAUGUGUGGCUCAUGCUGCUGCGGAUCCGACGGCUGAGCCGCGUCAUUUUCAGGCCGCAUUGGGUAUUCCUCACUGGCGUGCUGCGAUGGAGCAGGAAUUUCAGGCUUUGCUGAAAAAUGGCGCUUGGCAACUUGUUCCUCCGGUCUCUGGCAUCAACAUCAUUGACUCCAAGUGAGUGUUUAAGGUAAAACGACAUGCAGAUGGUUCUAUUGAGCGCUAUAAGGCACGACUAUUUGCCAAGGGUUUCAAGCAGAGGUAUGGUCUUGAUUAUGAAGACACGUUCAGUCCAGUUAUCAAGCCUACUACUAUUUGUAUACUGCUGUCUCUUGCUGUUACUCGUGGUUGGUCUCUUCGUCAGCUUGACGUGCAGAAUGCUUUCCUCCAUGGAUUUCUUGAGGAAGAGGUUUAUAUGCGUCAACCACCGGGCUUUGUUGAUCCUACACGUCCGCAUCAUCUCUGUUGUCUAGUCAAGGCGUUGUAUGGACUUAAACAGGCGCCUCGUGCGUGGCAUGCAUGCCUUGGUUCUGUUCUCCGGGCUCUUGGGUUUAUUCCCUCCACUGCUGACACAAUACUGUUCCUCCUUCAGCGUCCCGAGGUGACGAUAUAUCUAUUGGUUUAUGUUGAUGAUAUCAUCCUUGUCAGUUCCUCUGAUGCUGCUGCUGAUCGCCUUGUGUCCGCAUUGAGUGAGGAGUUUGAUAUCAAGGAUUUGGGUGCUCUGCAUUACUUCCUUGGUUUGGAGGUGUCACGGUCUUCUACUGGGUUGACUCUGACUCAGAAAAAGUAUUCUUUGGAUUUGUUGCGUCGUGCUGGGAUGCUCAAAUGCAAACAUGCUAUCACUCCGAUGUCUGCGACUGAUCGGUUGUCUGCCCUUGAUGGAGAUCUUCUUUCCACUGAUGACGCCACUGAGUAUCGUAGUAUUGUUGGUGGUCUGCAAUAUCUCACUAUCACCAGGCCUGAUGUCUCUUAUGCAGUCAACCGUGUGUGCCAGUACCUUCAUGCACCUCGUACCACUCAUCUUGGCAGUUAAGCGCAUUCUGCGGUAUGUCUCUUCCACUGCUUCGUAUGGUCUGCUCCUUCAGUCUGCACCGUUUUGUGAACUUUCGGCUUUCUCUGAUGCGGAUUGGGCUGGAAAUCCUGAUGAUCGGCGAUCCACGGGGGGAUAUGCAGUGUUCUUUGGUCCUAACUUGAUCGCCUGGAAUGCUCGCAAGCAAGCCACCGUGUCUUGUAGCAGUAAGAAGCUGAGUAUAAAGCAGUUGCGGAUGCUACCGCUGAGAUCAUAUGGGUACAGUCCUUAUUGCGGGAGUUGAGAAUCUCUCCAGGUCAUCCUCCAGUUCUGUGGUGUGACAAUAUCAGUGCUACAUACCUUUCAUCUAAUCCGGUGUUUCAUGCUAGGACGGAACACAUUGAGGUUGACUAUCACUUUGUUCGGGAACGUGUUGCACAGAGACUAUUUUAUAUCAAGUUCAUCUCCUCAAAAGAUCAACUUGCUGACAUCUUCACGAAGCCUCUUCCAGAACCACAGUUUGUAGGCUGUAGGCGCAAUCUUAACUUACUUUGUACUUCAGGCUAUAGUUAAGAUUGAGGGAGGGUGUUAGACUGUAUAUACGUAGUCUUGUAUAGGCCUUGUAUUGUACCUCUUGGUACGUCUAUAUAAUGAGAUAGCCACACCCCAUUUUAGGGUGUCGAGUCAGUUUCCCAAACCCUAUGUUUUACAAUAAGUUUGAUGAACAUGACCACAGUUCACCUCAGCUGCGGCUGCAGUUUGCUCGUUAAGGGUCCAAGGGGGCAAGCAGGACCUGGUAGUGGUGGUAUUAGGCGUUAAGUUGGGUCGAUGAUUCAAUCGUCUCGACCGCGAUGUUUACUAAAUUCGCUUGACCACAAGCUCUUGGCGGGGUGACAGGCCAGCUAAUUUAUUUCUCAUCACCUCGUAGGUCCGAUAACGUGUGGAAGUGCGACGAUGAUAUUUUGGUUUUUGUUCUAGAUAUAUAUUUAUUUCUCCCAUAGUGUAUUGAUAGCUUUUGUUCCCUCUACCGUUCCAAAAUCAUUACUACCUUGGACGAAAUGAACCGUUUAAAUGUGGAAGAGGAAAACGACCGCGGCAACCUCAAGGCUAUGUCUGAAUCACGUGGAAUUGUAUUGUA